rnacentral:rRNA from 1 species
UACGUAGGGUGCAAGCGUUAAUCGGAAUUACUGGGCGUAAAGCGUGCGCAGGCGGUUUUGUAAGACAGAGGUGAAAUCCCCGGGCUCAACCUGGGAACUGCCUUGUGACUGCAAGGCUUGAGUGCGGCAGAGGGGAUGGAAUUCCGCGUGUAGCAGUGAAAUGCGUAGAUAUGCGGAGGAACACCGAUGGCGAAGGCAAUCCCCUGGACCUG